rnacentral:misc_RNA from 1 species
UUUCCGUAGGUGAACCUGCGGAAGGAUCAUUAUUGAAACUUCAUCCGGGGCGCCGCGGCCCUCAGCACCGGUGGAAACGCCGUGCUGCGGGGGCCGCGCGUGCACUCGUCCAAACCAAACCCCCGUGAACCUUACGGGAUGGCCCGGGUUAGCGCCCGGUGCCGUUCCGCUUUAUACGAACACUUAUCAAAGAAUGAACUGAAGGCGGUCUGACCGCUGGAUAACAAACUGAAACAACUUUCAACAACGGAUCUCUUGGCUCUG